UGAGGGAGAGGAGAGUGUGUGAUUGUGUGUGAGAGAGAAGAGUGUGUGUUUGUGUGUGAGAGAGAAGAGUGUGUGUUUGUGUGUGAGGGAGAGGAGAGUGUGUGAUUGUGUGUGAGAGAGAGGUGAUUGUGUGUGAGAGAGGAGAGUGUGUGUUUGUGUGUGAGGGAGAGGAGAGUGUGUGAUUGUGUGUGAGAGAGAGGUGAUUGUGUGUGAGAGAGGAGAGUGAAAGUGUGUGUUUGUGUGUGAGGGAGAGGAGAGUGUGAGAGUGUCUGUUUGUGUGUGAGGGAGAGGAGAGUGUGUCUUUGUGUGUGAGGGAGAGUGUGUGUUUGUGUGUGAGGGAGAGUGUGUGUUUGUGUGUGAGGGAGAGGAGAGUGUGUGAUGGUGUGUGAGGGAGAGGAGUCCACACACCAACUCAUCGGGG
ensembl:lncRNA